rnacentral:rRNA from 1 species
CCUACGGGCGGCAGCAGUGAGGAAUAUUGGUCAAUGGCCGUAAGGCUGAACCAGCCAAGUCGCGUGAAGGAAGAAGGAUCUAUGGUUUGUAAACUUCUUUUAUAGAGGAAUAAAGGUAUCCACGUGUGGAUAUUUGCAUGUACUCUAUGAAUAAGCAUCGGCUAACUCCGUGCCAGCAGCCGCGGUAAUACGGAGGAUGCGAGCGUUAUCCGGAUUUAUUGGGUUUAAAGGGUGCGUAGGUGGGUUGUUAAGUCAGCGGUGAAAGUUUGUGGCUCAACCGUAAAAUUGCAGUUGAUACUGGAAGUCUUGAGUAUGGUUGAGGUAGGCGGAAUGCGUGGUGUAGCGGUGAAAUGCAUAGAUAUCACGAAGAACUCCGAUUGCGAAGGCAGCUUACUAAGCUAUAACUGACACUGAAGCACGAAAGUGUGGGGAUCAAACAGGAUUAGAUACCCUUGUAGUC